rnacentral:misc_RNA from 1 species
GUAGGUGAACCUGCGGAGGGAUCAUUACUGAGUUUUUAACUCUCCAAAUUAUGUGAAUUUACCAUUGUUGCCUCGGUGGUCGGUGCUGGAAACAGUGCUGCCACCGGUGGAUUACUAAACUCUUGUUAAUUUUUGUCAAAUUUGAAUCAAACUAAGAAAUAAGUUAAAACUUUCAACAACGGAUCUCUUGGUUCUG